rnacentral:rRNA from 1 species
UACGUAGGGUGCGAGCGUUGUCCGGAAUUAUUGGGCAUAAAGAGCUCGUAGGCGGCUUGUCGCGUCGGAUGUGAAAGCCCGGGGCUUAACUCCGGGUCUGCAUUCGAUACGGGCAGGCUAGAGUUCGGUAGGGGAGACUGGAAUUCCUGGUGUAGCGGUGAAAUGCGCAGAUAUCAGGAGGAACACCGGUGGCGAAGGCGGGUCUCUGGGCCGUAACUGACGCUGAGGAGCGAAAGCGUGGGGAGCGAACAGG